AUUGAACGCUGGCGGCAGGCCUAACACAUGCAAGUCGAACGGUAACAGGAAGCAGCUUGCUGCUUCGCUGACGAGUGGCGGACGGGUGAGUAAUGUCUGGGAAGCUGCCUGAUGGAGGGGGAUAACUACUGGAAACGGUAGCUAAUACCGCAUAAUGUCGCAAGACCAAAGAGGGGGACCUUCGGGCCUCUUGCCAUCGGAUGUGCCCAGAUGGGAUUGGCUUGUUGGUGGGGUAACGGCUCACCAAGGCGACGAUCCCUAGCUGGUCUGAGAGGAUGACCAGCCACACUGGGACUGAGACACGGUCCAGACUCCUACGGGAGGCAGCAGUGGGGAAUAUUGCACAAUGGGCGCAAGCCUGAUGCAGCCAUGCCGCGUGUAUGAAGAAGGCCUUCGGGUUGUAAAGUACUUUCAGCGGGGAGGAAGGGAGUAAAGUUAAUACCUUUGCUCAUUGACGUUACCCGCAGAAGAAGCACCGGCUAACUCCGUG
rnacentral:rRNA from 1 species